CUGUCGGAUUUGGAAAGUGAUGCAGAUGUGGUGUCUGAAAUUGAGAUGGAACCUGAAGUUGAGGAUGUGUCAGAGGCUGAAAUGGACUCAGAGAAUAACGAGCCACCUGUGAAGACAGCAGCAUUUGUACGCAGAAAAGCCUUCCAGUGUACCUCAUUGCUGUCCAGCCCACACACUCCGAAAGCUGUCUCCAAGUCUGCUUCCAAACAGCCCUCAAAGAAACAGGUUCCAAAAGAAUCCAAGAAGGC